AUUGAACGCUGGCGGCAUGCUUUACACAUGCAAGUCGAACGGUAACAGGCCGCAAGGUGCUGACGAAUGGCGAACGGGUGAGUAAUGCAUCGGAACGUGCCCAGUCGUGGGGGAUAACUAUCCGAAAGGAUAGCUAAUACCGCAUACGAUCUGCGGAUGAAAGCGGGGGACCUUCGGGCCUCGCGCGAUUGGAGCGGCCGAUGUCAGAUUAGGUAGUUGGUGGGGUAAAGGCUCACCAAGCCAACGAUCUGUAGCUGGUCUGAGAGGACGACCAGCCACACUGGGACUGAGACACGGCCCAGACUCCUACGGGAGGCAGCAGUGGGGAAUUUUGGACAAUGGGCGCAAGCCUGAUCCAGCAAUGCCGCGUGCAGGAAGAAGGCCUUCGGGUUGUAAACUGCUUUUGUACGGAACGAAACGGUCCUGGUUAAUACCCGGGGCUAAUGACGGUACCGUAAGAAUAAGCGCCGGCUAACUUCGUGCCAGCCGCCGCGGUAACAC
rnacentral:rRNA from 1 species